GCAGUCGAGCGGACAGAUGGGAGCUUGCUCCCUGAUGUCAGCGGCGGACGGGUGAGUAACACGUGGGUAACCUGCCUGUAAGACUGGGAUAACUCCGGGAAACCGGGGCUAAUACCGGAUGCUUGAUUGAACCGCAUGGUUCAAUUAUAAAAGGUGGCUUUUAGCUACCACUUACAGAUGGACCCGCGGCGCAUUAGCUAGUUGGUGAGGUAACGGCUCACCAAGGCGACGAUGCGUAGCCAACCUGAGAGGGUGAUCGGCCACACUGGGACUGAGACACGGCCCAGACUCCUACGGGAGGCAGCAGUAGGGAAUCUUCCGCAAUGGACGAAAGUCUGACGGAGCAACGCCGCGUGAGUGAUGAAGGUUUUCGGAUCGUAAAACUCUGUUGUUAGGGAAGAACAAGUACCGUUCGAAUAGGGCGGUACCUUGACGGUACCUAACCAGAAAGCCACGGCUAACUACGUGCCAGCAGCCGCGGUAAUACGUAGGUGGCAAGCGUUGUCCGGAAUUAUUGGGCGUAAAGCGCGCGCAGGCGGUUUCUUAAGUCUGAUGUGAAAGCCCCCGGCUCAACCGGGGAGGGUCAUUGGAAACUGGGGAACUUGAGUGCAGAAGAGGAGAGUGGAAUUCCACGUGUAGCGGUGAAAUGCGUAGAGAUGUGGAGGAACACCAGUGGCGAAGGCGACUCUCUGGUCUGUAACUGACGCUGAGGCGCGAAAGCGUGGGGAGCGAACAGGAUUAGAUACCCUGGUAGUCCACGCCGUAAACGAUGAGUGCUAAGUGUUAGAGGGGUUUCCGCCCUUUAUUGCUGCAGCAAACGCAUUAAGCACUCCGCCUGGGGAGUACGGUCGCAAGACUGAAACUCAAAGGAAUUGACGGGGGCCCGCACAAGCGGUGGAGCAUGUGGUUUAAUUCGAAACAACGCCGAAGAACCUUACCAGGUCUUGACAUCCUCUGACAACCCUAGAGAUAGGGCUUCCCCUUCCGGGG
rnacentral:rRNA from 1 species